CCCGGGCCCCAGCGGGUCGGGGACGCAGAGACCCCGCUCCGUGCGGGGUGGGGGCGCCGUGCCAGCCCCGCGGGGGUGCCCCAAGCGCUGUGUGUGUGUGUGUGUCCGCGCGCGCGCGCGUCUACACCCGCUGGAACUCGCUUGCUCGGGGUUAGGGGGAUAACGCUGUCCGCAGCUGGUUUCCUCUUCGUUGCCAGCCAGAGGGGCCUUCCCGGGAAACGCGUGGGCAUCCUUCGAGGUGCCGUGGGGCUGCGGAAGAGUGCAGGCACCCGGCAGGCAGCUGACGUUUAUGGAGCAUCUCAGUGUGCCAGGUGCUUUGCCUGGAGUUGACCACCUUCCAUCCUUUCCACAAUCUGUAAGGAAGGUGGAAUUAUCCCCAUUUCUCAGAUGAGCAACGGCCCUGCCCAGAACUCUUGACUUGCCCGAGGUCAUAUGGCUUGGUAACUAUAGAGCUGGGAUUUGAGCCCAGGUCUGCGGAGCUCUCCGACCGAGCUAAAAGAAAGGAAACUCCUUAGAACUAGGUAAAGAAACACACAGAAGAACUAAAGACCACCAGGAUAAAGCCUACGGGCAAAGCAUUUGGGAAUUAACAGGGAAAAAAACAAAUGAGUUCGUGAAAUCUCCCAUCACUUAAUUUCAAAUCUAAGACCGCAUUUACACAGCCUUCUACGUCUGGCUCUGGGGGCGAGGUGUUGGAGGUGGAGAGAAGACUGCGCCAGGGCUGGGCAGAGGCGGCUGGGGACACCUUCUCAGCGGAUCCGCCUGCUGGGAGUGGGGGGGGGGGUGGGGUGAGGAGAAGUUGUGGAGGGAACUCAGUUGUUAUUCAUCGCCAAUGUUAGUCAUCCCUUCACCUCACCCCGCCCCGUGGAUUCUAUUUCCUUCCUUUACUCCCUGUUUUGUCCAAGAUGACCGUAGUCAAAUUGAAGCUGGUCCUACUGCCAUCACUAUGUGUCACCACGUCUUGGCAUCCAGUGGUCCUGUGCUUCGGUGACUGUGUUAGGAGCUGUGAGAGAGAGAGACAGCGAGAGCAGGAACACAAGCAGGGGGAGUGGGAGAGGGAGAAGCAGGCUUCCCGCCGAGCAGGGAGCCCGAUGUGGGGCUCGAUCCCAGGACCCUGGGAUCAUGACCUGAGCCGAAGGCAGACGCUUAACGACUGAGACACCCAGGUCAGCAGAAGGCCAAAGUGGAAGAGCUUUGCCCAUCUUGCAGACACACCAUUUGGAAAAUGUGGCCUCUGUAGUCACCAGCGCAGGAGGAGCUCAUGGGAGAAUUGCUCUCCGACUCCUCUGUGCUUUGCUCUGGAACUGAUGCAUUGCUGCUCAUGCCCACAGCCCGUUGGUCAGACCUCACUGGGAGGCCCUGGGAAAGGAUGGGGGGUGACGUGUGUGGAUGGAAAGUUCAGAGAACAUCACUGUCUCUCCCACGUAGGGCUUGUUAUGGACCUUAAGCCUCAUUCCGAAUUUCUCCAAUGGGAGGAUUAUGUGAAUUCCUUUAAAGGAAACAAAAUGUUGUAGAUUCCUAGUGGUGGCUUAAAUUAUUUUUUAUUAUAAUGUAGUUCAAAGACGUAGUAGCAUGAAAGAGGUCAAUACUCUAUGCUUGGAACUCGCAUAUGACUCUGAAACCAAAACAAAUAUAUGUGUAAAAUAUCAACACAGCUACAAAUCGAGAAAUUCAAAUUAACUGGAUGAAUUUAGUGUGAUGGAUGAAGUUAUUUUCGCUACAAUGAAAUCACUGUUUCUGAUUCUAAAAACAACUGUUCAGGUCUUGUGAAUUUGGUAUGAUAUGUGUCGUGCCACAUGGGUUACCUGAUGGCUCAGUUCUCAUUAGUUCUCUAUGUUAAGUCUGAUUUCUUAUUUUCUUAUUAGCCUGUGACAGUUAAAAUAUUUCUGGUCGCCAACUAUAUCGUAAAUGCACGAAUACACCCAGUGAAACGAUGUGGCAGCACUUGGCCAUAACAUGGAUGUUCACAUGAUCCAGAAUAUGUUUCUGUAGAUUUUCUAUGGAUAAGCUUAAAAAAGAUUAUCAUGGAAAUGGAAGCACAAAGUUAAACAAACAUAAUUUGAGAGAACUUGCAAAUGCCCUAGAAUGUGUCUGAGGAUCCUCGGGAAUUUGAGAAACAGGUGGAAAAAACCCCUGGAGUGUUUAAUGAAGGAGGCAGAUGACCAGCUUUAUGGCUCAGAGACAUUGCUUGCCCAGGUGUGGGUAGGUAUGGGGUAGGGCGGAAGGCCAGAGACAGGGGGGUCGGGUCCCAUGUGCUGAGGAUAGGCACUGAGGCAGUGAGUAGUUAAGGGAAUGGAGAAGAGGUGCCAGGUUUGAGAGAGAUUUGGGAGGUGGAAACCACAGGACUUGGAGAUUGGCUGUGGGGGGUGAGGGGAGGGAUGCGGAGUCAGAGAUGGCUCAUCACCAUGGGGUCGGGGUGGCUGACGGUGCCACUGACCAGGGUGAGGACCACCCACGUCCACGGGAAGCCCAGAAGAGCUCCACGCCAGAGCUGGACUACCCAUAUUCAUCGCCCCGUCUUUCCUGACUGACUUGAGCUCUCCGGAACCGAUUUCUGAGGAACUGCAGUGUCUUGCAGUGUCUGGUUUUUUUUGUUUUUGGUUUUUUCCCUCUCUAGGACUUUUCGUUAGUGCUCAUUUGGGAUGUGAUUGGCUUUGUUAGCCUUUCGGUUGUGUCUGCUGGUCCUGACCCACUGGAGCAGGUUCUCUGUGGCCUAAUUAGGCACAUACCUUGUGUCUUCUCCAUGUUUUGAGAAAGUGAAAAAUAUUUGACAAAAUCGUGGAUGGUUCUGAGAGAGAAGCUGUCAUACCAUAUAAAGUGAGAUUAGUUAUCUGCCUUCAGUUUUUAAGAGCACCAAGUCUGGUUUUUUUUUUUUUUUUGGACAGAGAUACUCAAAAUUCUCCGAGGAGAGAACAGGUGCGGCGCAGGUUAAAUGCUCUCUAGGUAAUUACAUAACAAGGAAUCUGGAAACUCUGCCCUUGGGGGAAGCUGAGGGCAGAGAACACAAGGGCACCCAAACAGACAUACAAAUAAAAAUGUCACAAACUGAAGGCAAAUCUCUAUGCUGGCCAGAGUGAGAUCUUGUAUUAAUUAAAGUUACUGGCUCGAAAUAAUUUAAAAUGUCACCUGGUGUCUCCUCUUUGUGUGAAUUAUUAACCCGACCUACCCUCCUCCGUGGAAGCCCCAGGAGCCAACUGCCAGAAGUGCCUUCCGUUCUGUGUGUUCCCGCUCACGACCAGCUGCUACUUGUCUCUUGGCCUUGGCACAGGCGUCACCUUCGUGGCAGAGCUUCUGACGUCCUCCAGGGGACCCGCACCCCACCGCAUCUCUUUGGAACUUGUGACAAAUGGUGUGUAAGCAAGGGCUGACCUGUCACCCCCCAGAGACCACACGCUUCCGGAGGACAGGCACUGUGUCUACUCGUCUUGGAAUCCCCCCCAGACUAGUGGAGCAUUUUUCCUAAGAGCUGGCUCCACACCCACGAGCUAGGCACCUUUGAGAACCAUUGUUGGUCUGGUUGGAGGGGCUGUGGUCUACGCCACAGUGGCCUGAUUUUUGGAAUGUCUCCUCUGGGAAUGGGUUGGGUGAAGCUGGUUGUUCAAUGUAGUUCAGAUGUUGUGUUGAUUUUGGAUUGGCUGUACCCAGAAUCCGUGCCCCCCAGAUAUUCAUGUGCUCCCCUUCUUGAGCAGAUGCUAUCAGCCCUGGCUUUAGUUCUUGUUCUUACGGUUCCCCUGCAAUCCACCGCAGCCCUGUUUGAGGGCUUUCUUUGGCCGUAGGGGAAUGGCUCGCUCAUUCUUGGAGAAAGCCAGAGGUUCUGGGGAGUUAAUGCUCCUGAGAGCCACCCUCAACCCCUCAUGGAGGGCAACGGGUGGAUAAAUAUCACAGUUGCCUUGCCCCUCCGGUGGGACAACCUUUGGACAUGUUCUACCCAUUCUCCCAGAAGGUUCCUCUCCGAGCUGAGCCCAGAUUGUCCAUAGCAGCGACCAGCUGGCCCAUGCUGCUGGACUGCCUCAUUGCUUCACCCUCCGCAGCGCUUCCCAGGAUCACCUCCCAGCUCAACUCAAAUCCUGACCCCAGGCUCUGCUUUUGGGAGAGUCCAACACAAGACCCUUUUGGGUUGACUGGGGCAACUGGACUAUGGGUGGAAGUGCUGUGUGUCACUUGUCUUGCAGAGCAGAGAAGAGCCAGGGCACUGCCAUUGUGUCUGUCCCACUUGGAGGGUCUGAGAUGGAGGAGGGCUGCUCAGUCCACGUGGAAUUCAUACGGGCAAGAACUCUUCUUAUGGUAGCUGCUGUCUGAGGCUCCUACCUACCUGCCAUGUAGGGUGCCAACACUGAAGUCAGUCCAUCCUCCAUUUCCCCGCCCUGUGCUGAUGCCUGAGAGCUUGGGAUCUUACACCUGUGACCUCCUUUAAUGCUUCCAGUGUCCAAACUCUCCUCCCUUCGGUGGCUUGAUUAAUAUUAAAGUACAGUUUAUUUAUGUGUUUCUGUGGCUUCUAAGUCAUCUGGUAUCCAAAUUCAUUUUACUUCCAAUUAUUAACCAAUUGUUUCAAUAUUGAAUAAAAAUGAUUCUUACCUUCCUGAUUAGUUUGUAAUGAUCUUGUAUUAUACAUUAAAUUCUCAUGCGAAGUGGUAUCUAUUUUGAGGCUACAAUUUUCUUUUUUUCCCCUAAAAUCCAGCUAUUCUUGUGUAAGUACCAAGAUCUUGCAAUUGGAGCUCUGUAAUAUAUUUUACUAUCUUCAUUACUCAUUUUCAUCUCUCUCCUGUCCUCCCUCAAAAAUUGCAUCAAUACUUAAACGGCAUCAA